CGGCUCGCGUCGAGGCACACCUUUACCAGUGCGCUGGAGCGAAUCGAACCUGAACCAGCCGCAUCGGUUAAGGUGCCACUCGACCGUAGGAAUAUCAUUGUA
rnacentral:pre_miRNA from 1 species